AGUGAACGCUGGCGGUAGGCCUAACACAUGCAAGUCGAACGGCAGCACAGUAAGAGCUUGCUCUUACGGGUGGCGAGUGGCGGACGGGUGAGGAAUACAUCGGAAUCUACUUUUUCGUGGGGGAUAACGUAGGGAAACUUACGCUAAUACCGCAUACGACCUACGGGUGAAAGCAGGGGAUCUUCGGACCUUGCGCGAUUGAAUGAGCCGAUGUCGGAUUAGCUAGUUGGCGGGGUAAAGGCCCACCAAGGCGACGAUCCGUAGCUGGUCUGAGAGGAUGGUCAGCCACACUGGAACUGAGACACGGUCCAGACUCCUACGGGAGGCAGCAGUGGGGAAUAUUGGACAAUGGGCGCAAGCCUGAUCCAGCCAUACCGCGUGAGUGAAGAAGGCCUUCGGGUUGUAAAGCCCUUUUGUUGGGAAAGAAAAGCAGCAGGUUAAUACCCCGCUGUUCUGACGGUACCCAAAGAAUAAGCACCGGCUAACUUCGUG
rnacentral:rRNA from 1 species